rnacentral:rRNA from 1 species
CCUUAGAGUUUGAUCCUGGCUCAGGACGAACGCUGGCGGCGUGCUUAACACAUGCAAGUCGAACGGGGUGUUUAUUUCGGUAAACACCAAGUGGCGAACGGGUGAGUAACGCGUAAGCAAUCUACCUUCAAGAUGGGGACAACACUUCGAAAGGGGUGCUAAUACCGAAUGAAUGUAAGAGUAUCGCAUGAGACACUUACUAAAGGAGGCCUCUGACAUAAGCUUCCGCUUGAAGAUGAGCUUGCGUCUGAUUAGCUAGUUGGUGAGGGUAAAGGCCCACCAAGGCGACGAUCAGUAGCCGGUCUGAGAGGAUGAACGGCCACAUUGGGACUGAGACACGGCCCAGACUCCUACGGGAGGCAGCAGUGGGGAAUCUUCCGCAAUGGGCGAAAGCCUGGCGGAGCAACGCCGCGUGAACGAUGAAGGUCUUAGGAUCGUAAAGUUCUGUUGUUAGGGACGAAGGGUAAGGAUCAUAAUAAGGUUUUUAUUUGACGGUACCUAACGAGGAAGCCACGGCUAACUACGUGCCAGCAGCCGCGGUAAUACGUAGGCGGCAAGCGUUGUCCGGAAUUAUUGGGCGUAAAGGGAGCGCAGGCGGGAAACUAAGCGGAUCUUAAAAGUGCGGGGCUCAACCCCGUGAUGGGGUCCGAACUGGUUUUCUUGAGUGCAGGAGAGGAAAGCGGAAUUCCCAGUGUAGCGGUGAAAUGCGUAGAUAUUGGGAAGAACACCAGUGGCGAAGGCGGCUUUCUGGACUGUAACUGACGCUGAGGCUCGAAAGCUAGGGUAGCGAACGGGAUUAGAUACCCCGGUAGUCCUAGCCGUAAACGAUGGAUACUAGGUGUGGGAGGUAUCGACUCCUUCCGUGCCGGAGUUAACGCAAUAAGUAUCCCGCCUGGGGAGUACGGCCGCAAGGUU